rnacentral:lncRNA from 10 species
CUGUCUCGCUGGGUCUCUCACUGUCUUUCUGGGUCUCUCAGUCUCUGUUUCUCUGUAUCUCUCACUUUCUGUGUCUUUCUUUGUGUCUCUCACUGUCUCUGUGUCUCUCUCUGGGUGUCUCCCUGUCUCUGUCUCUCUGAGUCUCUGUCUCUGUGUCUCACUGGGAGUGUCUCUAGAUCUCUCUGUGUCUCUCACUGUCUCUGUGUCUCUCUCUGGGUGUCUCUCUAUCUCUGUCUCGCUGGGUCUCUCAGUGUCUCUUUGGAUCUCUCAGUCUCUGUCUCUGUCUCUCACUGUCGAUGUCUCUCUCUGUGUCUCUCACUGUCUCUGUGUCUCUCUCUGGGUGUCUCCCUGUCUCUGUCUCUCUGGGUCUCUCACUGUCUUUCUGUAUCUCUUGGUGUCUCUCACUAUCUCUCUAGGUCUCUUACUGUCUUUGGGUCUCUCUCUGGGUCUCUCACUAUCUCUCUGUAUCUACCUCUGGGCCUCUCUCAGGGUCUCAUUGUCUCUCUGGAUCUCUCACUGGCUCUCUGUAUCUCUCUCUCUCUCUCUGGGUCUCACUGUCUCUCUGUCUCUUUCUGGGUCUCUCACUGUCUCUGGGUCUCUCGCUAUCUCUCUCUGGGCCAGACCCUGUUCUGCUGGAGGGAGGGGGCUCCCUGCUGGAGGAAGCGGGGUACGGUGGGAAGGAGGUGCCCUGGGAACUGGGAUUGAAAAUCCGGCUGCCCGGGCCUCUCGCAUUUGGCUUCACCCCCAUUACAAGCUGCCUCCAUUUCGCAGAAUGCGUAUUUCACCCUAAAAGAAGGGGCUAGUGGGCUAAGAUGUCUCCAGAUCCGGGGGCACAGGUUCCCUUUUAAAAGCCAUGCCACCAGCUGCCUGUCCUUUGGCGGCUCAGCUGGUGGUCCCUCCCUCUGUGCCUCAGUUUCCCCAUCUGUAAUAUGAGGAUAACAAUAGCACCUACUCCACAGGGCUGUGUUCGGAUUAAGCACAUCCCAGACCAUGGGAGGGCCCACAGUGUUUGCCAGGAUUCCAGCUGAAGGCUCUGUGACUGCUGCGAGGCGCGAGGCCACAGAAGCAGCUUGAUGGGCACAUUCUCGUAUUUAGCGCCGACCUCUCAUUUGCAUUUUGCACUGAGCCCCACAAAGGAAGUAUCUAAUUCUACUCAUACUCACCCAGAGGCUCACAAUCUUGGUGGCUUAUGACUCAUCUGAGGAGCUUGGAAUGCUCCAAUUUCAGGCCGGCAGGAAUUCAGCAGUCAGGGAGGUCUGUCUUCUGCCUCCAAGCUAAUGGCCUUUACCUUUCAAAAC